UGGCAUUGCCAGUGACCUUCAAGUGUUCAUUCUGUGUGUGUCUCUGCCAGUGGUUGUCUGGUAUUCCUCAACAGUAAAAAACAAACAAACAUUUCCUCAACUUUUAUUCCAUAUUUUUCAAAUACCAGUAAGUGGGACACUUGCUAACAAAUCAUGUACCAAACAUCUCCUUUUUCUAGACGCAAAUAGUUUCUCAGUUUGUUCCCUAUUAAAUGUGUUUGAGUGAUUUUAAACCACCAUGGUGACUGUAAUACAUUUAUUCACUAAAUAGCGAAUGUUGAUGUAUUGCAAAAAGUAGUCUAAAUUCAGUUGAAUUUAGGGAAGCCACCUGAAGCAUUUGUUGUAUUUGAGCUAUUUAAAUUACUUUAGUUUGAUUUGUUCAUUGCAAACAGCUGAUGUUUGUACACUUUGACAAUAAAUCAGAUUUUUAAUGAUUUUGAUUACGACUGUAAAACAUCUUCAAGAAGUGGAUGGUGUAUUUUUGUUUAUUGAAGAUAGUCUUAAAAGCACCAAAUACUAACGCAUAAGGAUUUAUCCCAGUGGGAUAAACUCCUGGAAGAUGAUGUCAAUUUUAAGGUUUGUAACCAUUGAGUUAAGGAAAAUGAUUUUUCAUGGUCAUUUUGUCACCUGAUCAUAUAUGGAAGUUUAUUUCCUCCUACAUUAAAGCAUAAUGAAAGAGUCUUUAUUACCCUUAUUACCACUGGUACACCAUUUCCCAAAUGGAGUAAUC